GAUUUUUUUAUCUGUUCAGUGCUAUAAUCUGGUGAUGAUACCAUCGUGUUGAUUAAAACAAAAAUCCACAACGAACAGAAGUAUGUCAAGAUCAGUGAACCCAGCCUGAAUGAGUUCUUGAACUCUGGUCGAACAAGACUUCAUCCUGCAGUUUGGUGAAGAUGUUGCUGCCAAGUUUUUGGAAAAGU